UUAAAUUUUUGUGUAUUAAAGGUCUUAUCCUUUAUAGGUUCUAGUUUUUGGUUUGCUUAUACAGGUCCUUCCUGUGCCAAUAUUGUGAAAAUGGUGGCAUGUGCUUUUUGCUAGCACUUUUUUGCAUUUAAAUCAGAGCUUGUAAGCUGGUGGCCCAUGGGACAGGUCUGGUCAACAUAUGGGGUUUGGUUGGCUUCCUCACAGCUUUCUGAAAGAGAGAUUAUUUGCCAACAUUUGUUACAUAACAAAGCUCUUGGAAUUUUUAAGAUUAGCAACAGUGGGUUCACAUUGCCGUCUAGCAGUGUUCAGAUAGUUUUGAAUAUUUUUUGGAUGUAAACUACCUAAUGUGGAACUUGCUAGUGGUAUGCUUUUCAGGUGUGCCACAAUGUCAGGUCCCCUCGGCCUAAAGGUCAACCAGAACUCCCACUUGAUUUUCUGCUGCAGACAUCUGUUUUAUGCAUUUGCUUCACAGAGAUUUGAUCUUUUUUUUUUUUUUUAAGCUGACUGAAAAAGCAGGGACUAAUGUUUUCCAGUUCGUUGCAAUUCCUACACAGCCAGAUUCACAUAUUUAGUUGCUGCUUGGCCCUCUUUGCUUGCAGCUCAUUUUAUAUCAUUGACUUCUUAGUAUUUAGAUCCAAUUGUAAUUAAAGUAUAUGUUGUAAAUCUUCAUGCUAAUGAGAAAAAUAAAAUAUGGAGUGUUAGGGAGCUCCCCCCCCCAAAGAAAGCUAGAUGAUUGGUCACAAUUUAUUAAGUCAUCUAUCUUUUUGCCACUGAUUUGAAUGCUGUGUCUGAAUUCCAGCGCAUUCUUGGGUGUAUUGUUGAACUCUCUUUUGUCUGUUGAUUGUAUUUUCUUGCAAGAGUGGCUUACCAUUUUACUGUAUGUUGCAUGUCUUAGCAUUCAGACAGAUUAUUUAUCAUUGCUUUUUGUUUCUGGUAUUUUUAUAGCUAUCCAUGUCUGAUUAUAUUUCCAUGUGUACUCUGCAGUCAGUCGUUAAUCAUUUGCUAGAAAAAUUAUUAUUGGUAUUUUGAUUGAGGUCAUCAGUUAGGAGAAUUGACUUCUGUAGAAUGCUGAGUCUUCGUACAAAACAGUUUAGAUAUCAGAUUGAUGAAAAUUUAGGUAAAUGAAGAAAUUUCCAAAUCAAUUAGAUGUCUGGUUUUUCAAAAAUUUGCAGUUUCUGACUUUACGUAGAGUGUAAUUUCUUGCAGAAGAAUUUGUUAUAGUAAAUCAUUGGUCAGAGUGUCAUUGGUGCAAGAAUUCAAAGACAGCAUGCAUUCUUAUUGCAAGUGUUUUCUGUUUUUGCUAAUUAUUUAAUGUGACUGGGUUAACUGUCCUUUGCAGUGGCAUUGCAGCAGCAAGAGAUGCUUUUGUUGUUGAAUUUGUUUUUACAGCCUCUCAUCUCCCUGCUCCUUUCAGUUUUGAUGCUUAAUACCAGAGGUACAUUCAGGGAAAUCCUAAACAGUUCUAUUUUUAAUAUGCACCAAUAGCUCCUUACGUAAAUGUUUAAUCAUGAUAGAUAUUGAAUCUUGUAGUAGUCCUGAAAAAACAUCGGAUUCAUGUGAAACUGAUAUUUGCAAAGGAAACAGAUGUGUGUUGAAUAUGCAGCUCUACUUGCUCAAACUAAAUAGAAGUCUGAAUGUGUACCCUUACUUUGCUCAGGGCUGUCAAAAGUCCUAAAUGUGAGCAGAAUAUUAAUGUAAUGUGCAGGGUUUUUUUUUUUGUCUUAUUUGUCAUAUUUACUGAUUUGCAAAUUUAUUAGCAUGAGAUACCAUUGGUUCUGAGCUCACUUGAAACGAAAGAGAUGUGU